rnacentral:rRNA from 1 species
ACGGAUCUUUCGGGAUUAGUGGCGGACGGGUGAGUAACGCGUAGGGAUCUAUCCAUGGGUGGGGGACAACUCCGGGAAACUGGAGCUAAUACCGCAUGAUACCUGAGGGUCAAAGGCGCAAGUCGCCUGUGGAGGAACCUGCGUUCGAUUAGCUAGUUGGUGGGGUAAAGGCCUACCAAGGCGAUGAUCGAUAGCUGGUUUGAGAGGAUGAUCAGCCACACUGGGACUGAGACACGGCCCAG